CAUCAGGAGGUUAGUGCAAUGGCAUAAGCCAGCUUGACUGCGAGCGUGACGGCGCGAGCAGGUGCGAAAGCAGGUCAUAGUGAUCCGGUGGUUCUGAAUGGAAGGGCCAUCGCUCAACGGAUAAAAGGUACUCCGGGGAUAACAGGCUGAUACCGCCCAAGAGUUCAUAUCGACGGCGGUGUUUGGCACCUCGAUGUCGGCUCAUCACAUCCUGGGGCUGAAGUAGGUCCCAAGGGUAUGGCUGUUCGCCAUUUAAAGUGGUACGCGAGCUGGGUUUAGAACGUCGUGAGACAGUUCGGUCCCUAUCUGCCGUGGGCGCUGGAGAAUUGAGGGGGGCUGCUCCUAGUACGAGAGGACCGGAGUGGACGCAUCACUGGUGUUCGGGUUGUCAUGCCAAUGGCACUGCCCGGUAGCUAAAUGCGGAAGAG
rnacentral:rRNA from 1 species